rnacentral:rRNA from 1 species
GGCCCAGACUCCUACGGGAGGCAGCAGUGGGGGAUAUUGCACAAUGGGGGGAACCCUGAUGCAGCGACGCCGCGUGGGUGAAGGAGCGUUUCGGCAUGUAAAGCCCUAUCGGCAGGGAAGAAGCAAGACGGUACCUGACUAAGAGGCCCCGGCUAACUACGUGCCAGCAGCCGCGGUAAUACGUAGGGGGCGAGCGUUAUCCGGAUUCACUGGGUGUAAAGGGAGCGUAGACGGCCAUGCAAGCCAGGGGUGAAAGCCCGGGGCCCAACCCCGGGACUGCCCUUGGAACUGCAUGGCUGGAGUGCGGGAGGGGCAGGCGGAAUUCCUGGUGUAGCGGUGAAAUGCGUAGAUAUCAGGAGGAACACCGGCGGCGAAGGCGGCCUGCUGGACCGUAACUGACGUUGAGGCUCGAAAGCGUGGGGAGCAAACAGGAUUAGAUACCCCCGUA